CUGAAUGCGGACUCUUCACAAACACCAACAUCCUGCUUUGACGUCGGUUACUGACAAUCCCUUACCGAUUUGUGCUCCUUUCGAGACAAUCGAAGCUUGUGGUGAGCAGGCUGGGCUGGGGAGCCGGACUACCCGUGCUUCCUUCCGGGCUCUGCUGGGGCCGCUGCAGGCAGAGGAGCCUCGGGGCUGGGGCCAGCCGGCAGCUAUGGACCCUGCCUCCCAGUCUCAGCAAACCCUCUGCACCAGCCGAUGGGAUGUUAGCAGACCCAAGGCAAGCAGAGAAGGAUUCAAAUGCACGUAUGAGGUUAGGCCUACUCUUUUCUGCCUAUAACAUUAUGAUGAGAAGAAAUUCACCCAGACCCCAGACUGAGCACAUGUGGAGCAGACCUAGGCCCAGCAGUGAGGAGCCAACCUGGAUUAGCCAAGCUCCACCGACCCACAGGGAUUCUUUAAAGCAGCAGAUGAAAAUCUAUAGUCAAGAAAGUGACAAAAAGACUCUCUUCCUCUUUUUCACUUUAAAAAAGCC